CUUGCAACAAAAAUCUGGGCCCCGAAUUCAUUGUGGUACCGAUUCCUGAAACAUAUAAGGAAAUCAGGGUCCCUAAGAACCUGCCAAUGAAAUACAAUGAGGCACAGUUGGGAGAGAGAUUUAGGGGCUUUGACAAAAAUGGAGAUGGGGUUCUUAGCAGGCAAGAGCUCAGAAGUGCAUUCUACAGUCUUGGUUCCUACGUCCCAGAUUGGCGAGCACAUCGGGCAAUUCAUCACGCUGAUAUUAAUGGAGAUGGAUAUAUCGACGAGGCUGAGUUGGAAAAUCUUGUGAGAUAUGCUUUCCAACUCGGUUACACCAUCAAAUAAACCUCAGUAUUAUUAUUAAUAGUAUUGCUACAUAAAGAGCCAGCUUGGGGUAGUUGAUCUUAGAGAAAUACUUUUCAAAGCUGAAUGAAAGAUCAGACAAAGAAAGGAAAAAAAAAAAAGGAAACAGAAAUCCAUAUGAAUCCUUGCAAUUAUUCUGUAAAGAUGCACCUCACGAGUUAGAUUGAUGGGGACAAAAUGAAAGCAUGCAGAAAUAGUCCCUCGAAUAAUUAAGUCCAGACGACUAAAUAGUUCCUUUUUUUUUUUUUUGAGUCGGGGAAGCAGGGUUUCGAACUCCAGACUUUUAUUUUUAAAGACCUGAAGUUAUGUCAAUUAGGCAACAGGCCUUUGGCAACGGCUAAAUAGUUUCUAAUAAUUAAUUAUUAGUAAUAUUAUUGUAUCCAUAUAUUUUCCUCUAGGCCCGGCUGGCCUCUUGAUGAUUUAAAGUCGCCUUUUUCAGCGCCAAUACCAUUAAUUUACUGCAUGCAAGGAAUAAAAAAUCUUCACUUAUGUAGAAAAAGAUUAAUCAUGAAGAAACAGUAGUACUUUAAACAAUUAAUAUGUUAGGGAGGCAUUUGUAAGCUUAUAAUUCAGGUAUUUAGCGCGCAAGAUAUAUAUAUAUAUCCUUUAAACAUUAUUCAUGAAUGGAAUCUCAUUCAAGCCGAUCUUCUUAGACUUGACUUAGAUUCGUUCCUUACACAAAAUGCCAUCACAUUGUUAAGAUAAUAUAAAUAAUUAAAUUUGAAUGAUCUUCUAAUCAGUUUAAUUAUUUAUAUUAUCUUGACAGACAUCCGGUCUACCUCAUAUGUCUAAAUUCAUCUUGGUCGGAACAAUCCAGUCGGUUCAAUAUCGGGAUCGACUCAGUCUGGUUAUAAUCUCUGUUUUUUUGUUUAAGGUAUGGGCUAGGCCAAAAUCUGGGCCUAUUGUGCUGGCCCGAUAUACAAAAGUUUCCUUUUUUUGUGUUUUCGGGCUGGGCUAAAAUUUGGGCUCAAUGUUCUUGUGCCACUCCCGGCCCCAUGCAGCUUGUGAUUUGGCAGCAGCCGUAAUGCCUAUUGUACUGAAAGUUUAAGCCAACUUUGCUUAAGAUCCAAGUAUCAAUAAACAUAUUUGACAUACGAAUUUACUCAAGGAAUUUACUCAAAGUCAUAUAAGCUCUGAUAUCGCCAGUGGUGCCCCCGGCCCAUGCCUGUGGUUAGGCGGGAACCACAGUGCUUGGAUGUUGGCCGUUUGGGUCAUACACCCCUAGCACAUUAUGAUAAUGAGUGUGUGCUCACAAACUCAACAAAUAAGUGUACAUGUAAUUCGUAGCGGAAAAAUCGAAGGGUCAUAAAUGAUUCUCAAUAUCAAUACUAGAGAAUUUAAAAUACAUUACCACAAUAUCCAAAAGUCACUUAUAUUGUGGUGUAAUGUAUUUGCGGUGUACUCAUUGAUGUCUUAUGGACAUUGUGGUGUAAUGUAUUUUAAAUUCUCUUGUACUGAUACUUAGAAUGAUUUACGAACCUUUUAUUUUUCUGCUGCAAAUUCAUUGUACA